UACGUAGGGGGCUAGCGUUAUCCGGAAUUACUGGGCGUAAAGGGUGCGUAGGUGGUUUUUUUAAGUCAGAAGUGAAAGGCUACGGCUCAACCGUAGUAAGCUUUUGAAACUAAAGAACUUUGAGUGCAGGAGAGGAGAGUAGAAUUCCUAGUGUAGCGGUGAAAUGCGUAGAUAUUAGGAGGAAUACCAGUAGCGAAGGCGGCUCUCUGGACUGUAACUGACACUGAGGCACGAAAAGCGUGGGGAGCAAACGGG
rnacentral:rRNA from 1 species